UUGUUUGUAGGAUUUAUUGAGAGUAAACAUGUUUUGUGCAGGUUUCUCUUUGUGUUAGGAGGUUGGUUUAUACCAAUGAUCAGGGAGAGAUUGUUAAGGGGGUUUGCUCAAAUUUCAUAUGUGACAUGAAGCCGGGAGCUGAAGUGAAGAUUACAGGACCGGUUGGGAAAGAAAUGCUUAUGCCCAAAGAUCCAAAUGCAACUAUUAUAAUGGAACCGGAAUUGCUCCAUUCCGUAGUUUCUUAUGGAAAAUGUUCUUUGAGAAGCAUGAUGAUUACAAGUUCAAUGGAUUGACAUGGCUCUUCUUGGGAGUUCCCACAAGUAGCUCAUUGCUCUACAAGGAGAGCUGAGUGUCUCAUGGCAAGAUCUUGAGUUAAUUGCUGACCCAGACAAUACUGAUGCUUUAAAAGUGAGGAUUCUUGUCAUGGAGGAUCAAGGAGGAAGAAACAUGAUGCUUCAACAACUUGGAGGAGUAAAUGAAAUUGGAUUCUAUAAAUUAUGCAAAGUUCAUUAAGUUAUGUAAACAAUUGUAUUCUUUAUAAUCAAUCUAUGUAAAAAAUUUAUGCA